GAAAGGGUGACCGGACGUGGGGAGGAAGCGUGAAGCGAAACUGCGAGCCGAUGGACAAGGCUAACCGGAUAAAAGGCGUUGCCGAUCAGGGCGAGCGGG
rfam:Candidatus Burkholderia pumila strain TZHbot3 BPMIctg30, whole genome shotgun sequence.